rnacentral:ncRNA from 1 species
GGCCAAGUUUUUAAGGGCGCACGGUGGAUGCCUUGGCAUCAGGAACCGAUGAAGGACGUGGGAGGCCGCGAUAGGCCCCGGGGAGCUGUCAACCGAGCUGUGAUCCGGGGGUGUCCGAAUGGGGAAACCCGGCAGUCGUCAUGGGCUGUCACCCGCAUCUGAAUGUAUAGGGUGUGUGGAGGGAACGCGGGGAAGUGAAACAUCUCAGUACCCGCAGGAAGAGAAAACAAUAGUGAUUCCGGGAGUAGUGGCGAGCGAAACCGGAUGAGGCUAAACCGUAUGUGUGUGAGACCCGGCAGGGGUUGCAUGUGCGGGGUUGUGGGACGGGACUUCGGUCGUCUGCCGGCGGCUGGGUGAGUUAGAAACCAUUGCGAUAGGCGAAGGGCAUGCGAAAGGCCCGGCGUAGAGGGUAAGACCCCCGUAGCUGAAAUUGUGGUGGCUCACUUGUUCUGUUUCCCGAGUAGCAUGGGGCCCGUGAAA